AACUAUGCCUUUGGCCGUAAUGUCUUAGUAAAGACUCUUAACACUUUUUCAAGCCUCUGUGAAGUUUCUUGCUCAACUUAACUCCAAAGUAACGUUGUUGUUUCAUGCAACAACGCUCACACAUCAACAGGACUGCACACAGCAAAGUGUUGGGCCAAUCACUGUUUCUAUCUGAGCCUACAGCAAAGCAGAGCAAGGAGAUCUGAGGCUCUGCGUUAAUCCUGUUGUGUCCCCUGAAGAACUGUAGCUGAAUUACAAGCCCUCCUAUCUGCACUAUAAGGUUUUCCCAUGGUUUGAUACCAUCUUGUGUUGGCGCUACAUGUGUGAACGUUCAUAGGAUU